GCGAUAAGGGGAAUCUCGAGCUUUCCACGGUGGAUAAUAAUUCACAACUAUCAUGCGCGAUACGGUGCCUUAGUCGCAACGCCUCGGCGUAAUUCGGCCGGAGUCUAAAGGCACGUGGAAAGCAUUAUCGGAGACAACGAGAACGCGUCGGAUGCGAGGCGGGCAGAAAUGAAUGGCAAUCUGAAGAAGUGUAAAGUCACCCGGGGAUCUCAGUGCGACCGAGAACCCGGAGCCGCACACGCGCAUCGUGUGAUGCCCGUGUCGCAGCCAGUACGUGCCAAGAGUUUGUUACGCGCAAACUUGGAAAACUCACGCGUGCGAGUCUUGCAGAGCAGAAUGCCCAACAUCAAGGUCUUCAGCGGCACCUCGCAUCCGGAUCUCGCCCAGCGGAUCGUCGACCGCCUCGGCAUCGACAUCGGCAAGGUUGUCACCAAGAAAUUCAGCAACCUCGAGACAUGUGUGGAGAUAGGAGAGUCUGUCCGUGGGGAGGAUGUGUACAUCGUGCAAAGUGGAAGUGGCGAGGUGAAUGAUAAUCUUAUGGAGCUUUUGAUCAUGAUCAAUGCUUGCAAGAUUGCUUCUGCUUCUCGAGUAACGGCAGUUAUUCCUUGUUUUCCUUAUGCAAGACAGGACAAGAAAGACAAGGGCGGUGAUGGUGGAGACUCUAAAAAUCAGAUUGUCAUGAAGUCGAACGAGUGGAAAUUCAGGAGUCGCGCACCAAUUUCCGCAAAGCUAGUUGCGAAUAUGCUUUCCGUGGCGGGUGCUGAUCACAUUAUCACAAUGGAUCUGCAUGCUAGUCAAAUACAAGGAUUUUUCGACAUCCCAGUAGACAACUUAUUCGCCGAACCAGCUGUACUCAAAUGGAUUAAGGAGAAUAUUGUUGAAUGGCGAAACAGUAUCAUUGUCUCCCCUGACGCUGGCGGUGCCAAAAGAGUCACAUCUAUCGCAGAUCGAUUAAAUGUCGAGUUUGCGCUCAUACAUAAAGAAAGAAAAAAGGCGAAUGAAGUUGCGAGCAUGGUAUUGGUGGGAGAUGUCAAAGACAGAGUUGCUAUUCUUGUAGACGAUAUGGCUGACACUUGCGGUACCAUCUGUCACGCAGCAGAAAAGCUGUUGGAAGCUGGUGCCACGAAGGUUUAUGCAAUACUUACACAUGGUAUCUUCAGUGGGCCAGCCAUUAGUAGAAUUAAUAAUGCUUGCUUUGAGGCUGUGGUAGUCACCAAUACUAUUCCUCAAGAUGGCCACAUGAAAGAUUGCCCAAGGAUUCAGUGUAUUGAUGUUUCGAUGAUGUUUGCUGAAGCAGUAAGGCGGACACACAAUGGUGAAUCUGUAUCGUACUUGUUUUCAAAUGUACCGUAUUAGAUGGAAAUCUUCCGUAAUCUACUUUAAACAAUCUCAUAAGAAGGAUCUGAAGUAUUCCUGACCAUUAUGCAACCAUUAUGCAAUGAAGUAGAUAUACAUUGACGUUAUCUCGUUUGAAGAUUUAUGAUUUUUGAAUACCAGCAGGUUUCACACGAUUCUGCACCGUCGACAAUAACUCGACACAUCCAGCUCGUAUUCCAGUGCAGACUAGGUCUCCAUGACCUACAGGAGGAGUAUGCGUUAUGAGGAUAUCUGUGUCAGAUGGAAUCAUUUCCCAUUUUGAGAGGCACGCUUCUCCACGUGGCACGUUAAAUGCCCACUUACAAAACUCUGGUUGCCUAAAGUUUCAAUGAAAUGUAUCCCUCAGAAAUAAGAAUCUCUUAUACCUGAAAUUAUUUUCUACAAAUAUUUCAUAUAAUGUUUUCAAGAAAGGCAAGCACCAAUUUUUUUUUUAUACAAUCAUGAUACAAUGACAUUACAUCUCAAGUAAACACAUACAUCAAUGAAAUUUUAGAUUGGUUAUUUAAUUUUGGAAUAUCUAAGCAUAAAAUAUGAAAAUGUUUUUGUAAAUGCAAGCUUAACAUUUUUGUAUAAAUCUCAUGAAUAUAUGUUA
rnacentral:misc_RNA from 1 species